UGGACAUUUGGGUUGUUUCCAACUCUUGGGUGUUGUGAAUAAUGCUGCCAUGAACAAAGAUGUAUAGCUGUUUUGGUGCGUUUUGUAUGGCUAGAAACAAAAUCGCUAGAAUACAGAAUAAAUUCAACUUUAGAAGGAGGAAGAAAUGUAAGCAUCGAGGUGCACCUAUCCAGAGAGAAGGUUCAUGCUGAGUCUCAUGAAGGCUUGAAGGCUGUUUGGUUUUGAUAAAGUUGUAAUUUGAAAUCAGUUCAUGCAAAAAUAAAAGAAUAAAACUAUUUCUAUGAAGAAUAUUUUGUAAGUUGUCUUUUAAUAAGUGAAGUUUAUUUUUUAAAAACUCUAAAUAUAAAGAAAGGCAAGCAAAAAUAUUGGAAAUUGUGAACCCAUAAUUACCUAUGGUUAUAUUUUGAUGUACGUGUAUGCAUUCCUCUAAAUACCGUAAGCUCCUCUAGAACAAGAGCCAUCUCUUAUGUUUCUUUGUAUCCUCAGGGUCUCACACACUGCUGUACACUGAGUGGGUACUUAAUAAAUUGUUAAUGAUUUAUGUAUCCAUUCAAUUCAUUGAAUUGUUAGCAUGUUCUGUGA
rnacentral:lncRNA from 1 species